rnacentral:rRNA from 1 species
UAGGGAAUCUUCCACAAUGGACGCAAGUCUGAUGGAGCAACGCCGCGUGAGUGAAGAAGGCUUUCGGGUCGUAAAACUCUGUUAUUGAAGAAGAACGUGCGUGACAGUAACUGGUCAUGCAGUGACGGUAUUCAAUCAGAAAGUCACGGCUAACUACGUGCCAGCAGCCGCGGUAAUACGUAGGUGGCAAGCGUUGUCCGGAUUUAUUGGGCGUAAAGCGAGUGCAGGCGGUCUUUUAAGUCUGAUGUGAAAGCCUUCGGCUUAACCGAAGAAGGGCAUCGGAAACUGGGAGACUUGAGUGCAGAAGAGGAGAGUGGAACUCCAUGUGUAGCGGUGAAAUGCGUAGAUAUAUGGAAGAACACCAGUGGCGAAGGCGGCUCUCUGGUCUGUAACUGACACUGAGGCUCGAAAGCGUGGGGAGCAAAACAGGAUUA